rnacentral:rRNA from 1 species
GUAGGGAAUAUUGGGCAAUGGAGGCAACUCUGACCCAGCCAUGCCGCGUGCAGGAUGACGGCCCUCUGGGUUGUAAACUGCUUUUAUACGGGAAGAAAAAAUACUACGUGUAGUAUACUGACGGUACCGUAAGAAUAAGGAUCGGCUAACUCCGUGCCAGCAGCCGCGGUAAUACGGAGGAUCCAAGCGUUGUCCGGAUUUAUUGGGUUUAAAGGGUGCGUAGGCGGAUCUUUAAGUCAGUGGUGAAAGCCUGCAGCUUAACUGUAGAAUUGCCAUUGAAACUGAAGAUCUUGAAUGUAGUUAAAGUAGGCGGAAUGUAUCAUGUAGCGGUGAAAUGCUUAGAUAUGAUACAGAACACCGAUAGCGAAGGCAGCUUGCUGAACCAUUAUUGACGCUGAGGCACGAAAGCGUGGGGAGCGAACAGGAUUAGAUACCCUUGUAGUCC